CUGUUGGCGCGUGAUUUAUCGAACUGUUCGUCAUAAAAUGUAACGACGAGGAUCCGGAAAACGACUAGACGCGCUGAGGAAGACAAAGCUGACGCGCAACAUCACACACACACACAGUCAUUCACCUCGGAGGACAAUGCCGAAGGAGCAGCAUGGACGGACAGAGAUGAAUGAUGUUCCAAAAGCGGAAUAUGACCGGUGAUCUGAGUUUCUCGCUGAAUCUCGGUGAGUGAGAAAAAUUGGUUUGUAAACUGGUGGUGGGACUUGAGAUGACGGGUGUUUAUAAGACUCGUGGAAAUCGAUGUAAUUUAGAUUUUGGCACGAUAAACAUUUCUCGAGUGAAUUUAUUAAGUAAAUUCUCAAAUUCUGCUACGAAAUUAAUUAA